GCGACGAAGGGUAGCCGGCCUGAGAGGGCGACCGGCCACACUGGGACUGAGACACGGCCCAGACUCCUACGGGAGGCAGCAGUGGGGAAUAUUGCACAAUGGGCGAAAGCCUGAUGCAGCGACGCCGCGUGAGGGAUGACGGCCUUCGGGUUGUAAACCUCUUUCAGCAGGGAAGAAGCGAAAGUGACGGUACCUGCAGAAGAAGCGCCGGCUAACUACGUGCCAGCAGCCGCGGUAAUACGUAGGGCGCAAGCGUUGUCCGGAAUUAUUGGGCGUAAAGAGCUCGUAGGCGGUCUGUCACGUCGGAUGUGAAAGCCCGGGGCUUAACCCCGGGUCUGCAUUCGAUACGGGCAGACUAGAGUGUGGUAGGGGAGAUCGGAAUUCCUGGUGUAGCGGUGAAAUGCGCAGAUAUCAGGAGGAACACCGGUGGCGAAGGCGGAUCUCUGGGCCAUUACUGACGCUGAGGAGCGAAAGCGUGGGGAGCGAACAGGAUUAGAUACCCUGGUAGUCCACGCCGUAAACGGUGGGAACUAGGUGUUGGCGACAUUCCACGUCGUCGGUGCCGCAGCUAACGCAUUAAGUUCCCCGCC
rnacentral:rRNA from 1 species